UACGGAGGGGGCUAGCGUUGUUCGGAAUUACUGGGCGUAAAGCGCACGUAGGCGGCUUUGUAAGUUAGAGGUGAAAGCCCGGGGCUCAACUCCGGAAUUGCCUUUAAGACUGCAUCGCUAGAAUUGUGGAGAGGUAAGUGGAAUUCCGAGUGUAGAGGUGAAAUUCGUAGAUAUUCGGAAGAACACCAGUGGCGAAGGCGGCCAACUGGACCAGUACUGACGCUGAGGCGCGAAAGCGUGGGGAGCAAACAGG
rnacentral:rRNA from 1 species